rnacentral:rRNA from 1 species
AACGUAGGACACAAGCGUUAUCCGGAGUUACUGGGCGUAAAGGGCUCGUAGGUGGCCAACUAAGUCAGACGUGAAAUCCCCAGGCUUAACCUGGGAACUGCGUCUGAUACUGGAUGGCUUGAAUUCGGGAGAGGGAUGCGGAAUUCCAGGUGUAGCGGUGAAAUGCGUAGAUAUCUGGAGGAACACCGGUGGCGAAGGCGGCAUCCUGGACCAACACUGACGCUGAGUGAGCGAAAGCCAGGGGAGCAAACGGG